ACUCAAAUGAAUUGACGGGGACCCGCACAAGUGGUGGAGCAUGUCCUUUAAUUCGACGAUACGCGAAGAACCUUACCUGGGCUUGUAUGCCGGUUGUAUCCUUAUGAAAGUAGGGAGUCAUUUAGUUGGACCGGACACAGGUGUUGCAUGGCUGUCGUCAGCUCGUGUCGUGAGAUGUUGGGUUAAGUCCCGCAACGAGCGCAACCCUCGUCUACAGUUGCCAUCAUUUAGUUGGGCACUCUGUGGAAACCGCCGCGGAUAACGCGGAGGAAGGCGGGGAUGACGUCAAGUCAUCAUGGCCCUUACGCCCAGGGCGAGAGACGUGCUACAAUGACGGCUACAGAGGGAUGCCAAAGCGCAAGCUGGAGCGAAUCCCAAAAAAGCCGCCUCAGUUCGGAUUGUCGUCUGCAACUCGACGGCAUGAAGCUGGAAUCACUAGUAAUCGUGGAUCAGCAUUUGCCACGGUGAAUACCGUUCCCGGGUCUUGUACACACCGCCCGU
rnacentral:rRNA from 1 species